GUAGUUGCCUCCCCCAAAGUUGGGCUUUUGCGCGCGCGCCGCUGCCCAAGUCUUGUUUGUUGUGCUCCCCUCCGUUCUCUCUUUCUACUCUCGGCAGCUUAUUUUAUUUGAUUUAGAAAGGAUUCAAUUCCUUCACUCAGACAACUCCAGAACUCUUUUUCGCUGCCGCCACUCCUUGGUGACUGACUUCAUCAGUAAAUCAACUUGACUUUCUUGAAAUUUCUAUGGGUUAUUCUCAGAUUUUUUUUUUCAAGAAAUUUUGGAUAUGAGAUGAAAACUAUAUGGUGAAGAAGAAGAGAAAGGAAAUCUGACGAAGAAAAAGAAUAGAAGGUGCGGCGUGUGAUAGAGAGAAAGAAAGGUUGGUCCGUCAUAAAUGUUACUGUAUUUGAGGGGAUAAGUUGAGGGUUUUGUCCAAAAUUUUCUAAUUUGCUCGGGAAUGGGAUAAGUCUGAUUUUUUAGAAAUGAUUUCAAAAAUUGCAUUUCAAUAGACUUAACUCAAACAACAAAUAAGGAGUUUAUUCUAUUUUGUGAUUCCCAAAUCCUUUAACCAAACAGUCCCUAAGUUCUGUAUCAAUUGUUUUUAGGGUUUGUCCUAGAGGCGUCCACUGAAUAUUACUAGUAUUUAAUAGGGAUCCAGUGUAUUAGUACGUUGGAAAAGUGAAAUUAGAAUGAGGAAAUAUCUAAAUGAAGGGGUUUUAUAAGUGCUCAUUGGUAUCUCGUAAUUUUUUAAUUUGAUUAAUAACAUUUUCUAUUUUGAUAAAUAGCACAAAAGAAUUCUAAGCACUUCUAACCAAACAUCUUUUCCCCCAAUCUAAACCUUUGUCAGAAUUAUUAUUAUCUGCUAGCGUAUGUUCUAUUGGAAAAUUCUGAUCACAGUGUCCCAACAACUGUGGGGAGAGCCACCCGAGGGAGUGAUCAAAAUCAAUUUAGAUGCAUCCAUUUCAGCUCAAAUGACACAAACAGGAAUAGGAAUCGUGACAAGAAAAUGGGCAAAAAAUAUAUGGUGAAAGCACGAGGACAGCUAAAUGAGCUGAACAAAGGAACUGCUAUUGCCGUAGAAGCUGAGGCCAUCAAACAUGCUCUAAUUUUGGCUAAAGAAGUUGGCUAGAAUGUCAUUCAGAUGUAAUCAGACAGUAAGAAUGACAUAAAAAUGAUCAACUCCAGAUGUGUUAGUAAUAACAACUUAGCGACCGUCCGUGAGGAUAUUAAGGACGCGAGCGAUAUGUUUGACCAAAUGUCCUUCAUUUUACAAUAUCAUUUUACAGAUCAGGCAAUACAAUUAACCAAAUGGAUGUCAAGUCAGAAAAGCCUACCCUGUUUUCGCUUAAUGAAGCUGCGGAGGCAGAUAUAAGGGUAGUUGCCCUUUUUUGUAACUAUCCUUGUGUUAUCAAGUAUUUAUAAUAUCAUUAUCGUUUGACCAAAAAAAAAAAAAAAAAA